rnacentral:lncRNA from 1 species
CCUUCAUGAAAGACUUUGACUGUAUAGUUUUAGGAUAAUAUUUUCGAACUAUUCCCUUACUAAAACUGCUUGUGAAUGCUGUUAACGCUUAUCAUUUUAUUCCAGUGGCAAACAUAUUGCAUUGGUCUUAUGAAAGUACAAAGGCGUGUACAGUUCUAGUCAAUGAGGAAAGUAGCGAAUCAUUAGCUAAAAUUCUUCCCGAUGCUGGAAUUAACAGGAAUACGUCAGUCAGUCGACCUAAACCAUCGGCGACUCCAGCCUCCAGUCUUGGAGGUACAAAAACAUUUCCAGCAAGGUCGUUUCCUCCAGACGGCACAACAUUCGCUCAGAUCUCAAUCGGACAAAAACUAUCCAACGAAAUCCCUCCAUACGGCUACUGGAACAUGCAAUUCUACCAGUCAGAAGCAGCCUACAUCAAAUUUGACUUCAACAUUCCAAGAGGGGCAAAUAUUGCCAUGUAUGCCAGAAGAAAUGCCUUACCAACCCACACACAAUAUCAUUUUUCUGGAGUCUUGAGCGGCUAUAAGCGAGACUCACAAGAGCAUCACACGUAAGUUGUAUUUUUUUUUUCAACCGCUUGCAGUAAAAUUUCCAAGACAAGACAUUUACUCUCUCUUUUUUUGCAAUUCUGUGCAAACAUGGAGAGAGGAUAUUUUUACUUUUCGCUCAUUAUGCCUAACUUGAACUUUUCUAAUACAUUGUAAUUACAUACAUAUAUCUCUCUUCCCUUGAUCAGCCGAUCAGGGCUUUCCCUGUCGACUCUCAUCUACAUUUCUCUUAAUCAUCGUUUUUGCAUCUGUCCUAUCCACAGCAGACAAGCGUAAAGAAAGAAAUAAUGCAUUACUUGGAACCCGGCAUUGGUUCUUGUCUCUGUACAAUGAUGAUGGUGAUGCGCAAGAAGUUAUUCUGGUCGCCGAAGUCUCUGAUGAGCUUAAAAAAAAGUUGCCCUGGUUUGCAAUGGCAAAGGACAGUGUUUAAUGGGCCGGUGUCAGUGCACGCCUGGAUUUGGUGGAGAAGACUGCAGUGAAAGUAAGUUAAUCGUUGUAAUCAGCCUCAAAUCAGUUUUCAACCUGAUAUGCAAUUAAUCUACUUAAUACAAAGUUGAAAAGCAAAUACAUGAACCGGCUGUAGAUUUUUUAAUUUUUCCUGUUACAACACUAGAAAAUCAACAGUGAAUCAUUUGCUAUGAAGACAGUCUGUAAAUUCAAAACCAUUGUUGACUAUAGAGCCAUUCAGAGCGUGAACCCAAAGAAUAAUUUAAAAUAAGGCUUGGGCAUCAACCAUGAAAAACAGGAGAGGGGGCUUUUUAAGGAUC